rnacentral:rRNA from 1 species
AACGAACGCUGGCGGCAUGCCUAACACAUGCAAGUCGAACGAAGGCUUCGGCCUUAGUGGCGCACGGGUGCGUAACGCGUGGGAAUCUGCCCUUUGGUUCGGAAUAACAGCUGGAAACGGCUGCUAAUACCGGAUGAUGACGAAAGUCCAAAGAUUUAUCGCCAGAGGAUGAGCCCGCGUUGGAUUAGGUAGUUGGUGGGGUAAAGGCCUACCAAGCCGACGAUCCAUAGCUGGUCUGAGAGGAUGAUCAGCCACACUGGGACUGAGACACGGCCCAGACUCCUACGGGAGGCAGCAGUGGGGAAUAUUGGACAAUGGGCGCAAGCCUGAUCCAGCAAUGCCGCGUGAGUGAUGAAGGCCCUAGGGUUGUAAAGCUCUUUUACCCGGGAAGAUAAUGACUGCACCGGGAGAAUAAGCCCCGGCUAGCUCCGUG